rnacentral:lncRNA from 1 species
AGUGAAGCCAUCACCACCGGCCUCAUGCAUCACUGUCCUGUGGACCUGUGAGUAGUUCCAACACUCCCAUGUGGUCAGCCUGCUUUACUUGAAACUCAGUUACAUAAACCUGUUGAAGAUAAUGCUGCUAUGUGAUUGCUGACAACUUUCCAAAUGCCCUGUUUGCUGCUCAAGCUGAUGUUCCCAAGGAGAGAGUUGCAAGUAUUGGAGGAAGCACCACCCUCAGGGAAUGAGCUUGCAAUCUGCUUCUCUGUGGCCCUGGGUCAGUCCCAAUAGAUCAGGCCACCUGGGAGAGCCACUUCUGUCCACCCAUCCCUGAGGGGAUGCUUCUCCGUCCCUUCUGCAUGCCUCCUGCACUCGGUGGCUGUGCUCUGGGAGAGUUACCCUGCGAUCUACACUUUCGGCUGCACCACCCUCUGCAGUGAAGAGUGUCUAAGGUUUCCCUACUGCACAGAACACUCGAGAUCCGUGGUGUGACAGGAAGAGCUUUCCAGCUGCGUGGCCUUGGGCCGUCUUACUCUCUGGGCCUCAGUUUCCUCAUUGGUAGCAUGGAGCACUGAAAGCUACGAACAGGAGCUGUGAGGGUGAAUGGAGGAUUCAUGCCAGAGCCUGGUGGGAUGCCCCUGCAGAGCAGAUGCUCAGGAAACCCUCCUGCCAGCUCCUGGGGAGCACGGGAGGCGCUGGCUCCUUAGUUCUCUAUGGAAGGACGGUUCUGCACCAGAUAUUAUUAUUAGAGUCUCUUAUUUGGAAUUCUGGACUUGUGUGCUCGACAGGGGCCUCAAGUCCCCAGUGUCGCUCAAUAGUGACAAACCCAAAUAAAAGAUCCUGGCAAAUGAUUAGCAGCCUUUCCUGCUGCUGUGCUCAUAAACGCUGUUGCUAUUUUUGGGCCAGCAUUGUUCAACCUGGAUUUAGUUCUCCUUUGCUGUCUAUUUUGGCUCUGACCUGCUCUGAAAGGGCAGGCUCCACGCCGGGUGUCACGCCCAAUGGCUUCUCCACGGUCUUUGUCCAAAUGGACUCAGUGAGGAUAUCACCAGCGGAAAAGUAAAAGAUGAGAGGACUUGAAAAAAAUAUCUUCCAUUCAGAAUCUUUUUAAAAAUAUACUUUCAAACAAAGAGGUAUUAUAGAAAGCAUUUUGCUUUUUCGUUUAAAGCUAAAGAAAAUCAGAGUCACCUAGAAAUGUGAGUUACUGGAGGAAGAGAGGAAUGGUUAAGAUCAUUCUACAGUGUCUAUAUGUACUUAUAUAUCCCAGUGUCUGUGUGUACAUGCGUGUAUGUCUGUGUAUGUAUGUGUGUCUGUGUGUGUCUCUCCAUGUGUCUGCCUAUAUAUCUGCAUGUGUAUACGUGUGUAUGUAUAUCUGUGUAUGUACAUGUGUAUAUAUGUGUAUGUCCGUGUGUGUCUCUGUGUGUCUCUGUGUGCAUGUAUGUGUAUAUGUGUGUCUGUAUGUAUACAUGUAUGUCUGUGAGUCUCUUUGUGUGUCUGCCUGCAUAUCUGCGUGUGUGUGUGUAUGCUCUGUGUGCGUUUGUAUAUGUCUGUGUGUCUGUGUAUACACAUGUGUGUCUGUGAGUCUCUCUGUAGGCGUCUCUCUGUGUGUCUGCCUGCAUAUCUGCAUGUGUGUAUGUGUGUAUGGUCUGUGUGUGUUUGUAUGUGUGUCUUUGUGUCUAUGUGUAUUCAUGUGUUUCUGUGGGUCUCUCUGUGUGUCUGCUGCAUAUGUGCAUGUAUGCAUGUGUGUAUGGUCUGUGUGUGUUUGUAUGUGUGUCUGUGUGUCUAUGUGUACGCAUGUGUGUCUGUGAGUCUCUCUGUGUGUCUGCCUGCAUAUCUACAUGUGUGUAUGUGUGUAUGGUCUGUGUGUGUUUGUAUGUGUAUCUGUCUGUGUCUGUGUGUAAUUCUUUAUCUCCUCCGUUUUCUGAGCAGGCUGGUCCUUUGAAUCCCAGGAGAUAAUUUUUCCUUAUACUUACUAGAGGAGUCUGUCAAUACAGUAGAAGCACAAUGUAAAUGGGGGAUUAACACCUUGAGAUAAUUUGAAUCCACUGUCAUUCACCCUUUCUGAAAUGCACAAGCUUGCAGGCACCUACCCUCCUGCUACAGGACAGAAAAAAACACGGUGGUUUUAUUUCCAUUUCUUAUCACACGGUGUCCACUGCCUGAGCUGCACAGGGAGGCAUUUUGUCAUUUCACUGUAGGGGUCUCCUGUGGCCCCGAAUCUCAUGUGUUUGUGUCCCUAGGAGCUGCAGCCCCAACCAUGUCAUGAAGAGGGGUCGGCACGGGGGCUUCUGGCUGUGGCACACACACGUGUUAACCUAUAAGGCUCACUUCCUGCCCACAAGGGUCAGAGUGUUGUUUUUUUUUUUUUGAGACGGAGUCUCCCUCUGUCGCCCAGGCUGGAGUGCAGUGGCGCGAUCUGGGAUCACUGCAAGCUCCGCCUGCCGGGUUCACGCCAUUCUCCUGCCUCAGCCUCCUGAGUAGCUGGGACUACAGGAAUCUGCCACCACACUCGGCUAAUUUUUUGUAUUUUUAGUAGCGACGGGGUUUCACCGUGUUAGCCAGGAUGGUCUCAAUCUCCUGACCUUGUGAUCCACCCGCCUCGGCCUCCCAAAGUGCUGGGAUUACAGGCGUGAGCCACUGCGCCCUGCUGAGAGUUUUUUAUUGAUCAUUCAGUGAUUCUGAAGGGAAGACAGUUCUACUCUCACUGCCAGUGACAGCACAGCCCAGGAGAGCAAGGGCAGGCUCCUCUCCAGGUGUGGCUGCUCUCCAUGGCCUGGGUCAUAGUCUGGAGAUGACUGAAGAGUUAGUCUUGGGGCUGUUGCUUGUGAGAACUGGAGAGGUGUGUGUCAUUAUCUGAAUCGGCCAGGCCCACGCCAGGGUGAACUGGGCUUACAGGAAAUGCAGUCACAGAACAUUCGAGGAUCCUGAAUGCAAACACUCUUGGAUGAUCCAGAAGUAGUUCAAUCCACAGGGAAUCCCAAGAAGCUGGAUGUUAUCUGUACCCUUUUCCCACUGGCAUCUGGAAGAACCUAAGUUAAGGAAAGAUGUUUGCUGCACUCUCUUGUUUUUUUAUGUUUAUGAUGCUAACCCAUGCUAGUCACUAUUGCUUUGAGCUAUGGUCUGAGUGUCUACGUCCCCUUCAAAAUUCUUAUGUUGAAAUCCUAACCCCCAAGGUGAUCGUAUUAGGAGGUGGGGCCUUUGGAAGGUGAGGAGGACUUGAGGGUGGAGUGCUCAUGAAUGGAAUAAGUGCCCUCCUAAAACAUUGGUCGGGGGACAUCCUCACCCUUUCCACCAUAUAAGGACACAGUGAGAAGGAGCCAUCUAUGAGCCAGAAAUUCAGCCCUCACCACACAGAACCUGCCAGUGUCUUCAUCGUGGACUCCUUAGCCUCUGGAACUGGGAUAAAUAAAUUUCUGCUGCCUAUCAGCUACCUGGUUUAUGAUAUUUUGUUAUAGCAGACCAAAGACACCAUAUGACACAUUAUCCCUUAAAUUUAGUAACUUAAGGCAACAAUUCUAUUUUUUCUUAUGAUUUGGUGGGUCAGAACCAUGGGAAAGACUCAAGUGCACGGUUCUUAGCUGGGGUCUGUCAUGCAAUUGCAGUGAGGUAUCAGCCAGGGCGGUUGUCAUCUGAAGGCUGGACUGUGGCUCAGACACAGGCUGGGCAUCUGAUGCAGCCUGUUGGCUGGAGCUCAGCUGGGGCUGUUGACUGGAGCACCUACAGCAACCUCCCAGAAAGGUGCUCUCAAGGUCAUUGGACUUAUUACAUGCUGCUAGCUUUUGCCCGAGCAAACAUCUCAAGCAUAUCAUGUAUGGGAUAAGGGCUGCACAGCUUUUUCUGACCUCCUAUUGGAAGACCUACAGUGUCACAUCCAACAUAAUCUGUUGGUUGAAGCAGACACACAUUCAGCCAGGGUCAAAGCAAAAAAAAAAAAAAAAAAAAAAAACAUAGAUCCCUGCGUCCCAGUGGGAGAAUUAUCAAAUAAUUUGGUACUUUUUAAGUAGUUGUGAAGAAUAUUAUGUUAUGCAC